UGGGGAAUUUUGGACAAUGGGCGCAAGCCUGAUCCAGCCAUGCCGCGUGCAGGAUGAAGGCCUUCGGGUUGUAAACUGCUUUUGUACGGAACGAAAAGGUGCCUUCUAAUAAAGGGCGCUCAUGGCGGUACCGUAAGAAUAAGCACCGGCUAACUACGUGCCAGCAGCCGCGGUAAUACGUAGGGUGCGAGCGGUAAUCGGAAUUACUGGGCGUAAAGCGUGCGCAGGCGGUUUUGUAAGACAGAGGUGAAAUCCCCGGGCUCAACCUGGGAACUGCCUCUGUGACUGCAAGGCUGGAGUGCGGCAGAGGGGGAUGGAAUUCCGCGUGUAGCAGUGAAAUGCGUAGAUAUGCGGAGGAACACCGAUGGCGAAGGCAAUCCCCUGGGCCUGCACUGACGCUCAUGCACGAAAGCGUGGGGAGCAAACA
rnacentral:rRNA from 1 species